ensembl:lncRNA
CUAUGUAUAUCUAUGGUCGGCACGUCUGGUAGCAUCUCUGGCUGCUGUUGACCUUGUUUUUGGAGUAAAACACGGUGGAAGCUGAAUUAGUGAGGAUGACUCCUGCUCCUGUCAUCUCUAAACUCCUCACACAUCUUUACCUGCACAUGAGGAAAAUCACUCCUGUAGAAUGCAGAUGUUCAGAGGGAGAUGAUGCCACAUCUGGUCCAGCUGAUGGAAGGUCUUGAAGUUCUCUGACUGGCCUCGACUGAAGAUGGUCGUCUCACUGGAUUUAAGGUUCAGAUGCUCAGUAACAAACUCCACCAAUGAGCCAACAGGGAAGCUUUAGGUUUAUUAAAUGUUGCUAUGAAGGUUUUGCUGUUUUUCUUUGUGAAUGCAAUGUGUUCCAACUGAAACUUGAAUUAGAACUUAGAAGUAAAUCCUUCCAUCUGAAAGGAUUUAGUUGCAUUAAUAACCUCAUAACAUUCUAGUUUUUAUUCCAGUCUUGGUUGGAAAUAGAAUCUCUGUAUUGAUUCAGGUAAAAACUGAACUUCACAGCAUGUUGGAGCAAAACAACCAGAUGAAAACUGUGAUGGUGUUGGAUUGUCAGACCGUAAUGUUCAGCUCAAAGCAGCUUUUCUAUCUCAGUUCAUUCUGACAUUCAGCUAUGAAUCAACACAGCAGAUGGUGAUCCAUGCUGUGGAAGUCUCACAUCUCCUGAUUUAAUGGAGCUGCUUUGUACUUUUUACACAGUUUAUUCACCAACACUUUAUUUAAUAAAAGUCCCAUCUAGUUUUCAUGAGGAAUGUGAUGUUUUAAUUUCUCUGUGAAUAACUGCAG